rnacentral:rRNA from 1 species
UAGGGAAUCUCCACAAUGGGCGCAAGCCUGAUGGAGCAACACCGCGUGAGUGAAGAAGGGUUUCGGCUACGUAAAGCUCUGUUGUUAAAGAAGAACACGUAUGAGAGUAACUGUUCAUACGUUGACGGUAUUUAACCAGAAAGUCACGGCUAACUACGUGCCAG